AUGCUACAAUUUAUAAUAAUAAUAAUAGCAUGGAAUCUGGCAAUCGCAACAAAUAUUUCACCUGCGAAAGAUGGAGUUAUGGAGUUGAAAAUGGUUCAUAUCGUUUGGAGGCAUGGAGAUAGAUCACCUACGACUACAUUUAACGUGGAUCCAUUCCAAGAGGAUAGUUGGACAUUUGGAGGUGGAGGAUGGGGACAGCUUUCACCGCUCGGAAUGAAUCAACAUUUAACUCUUGGAAAGAAGCUUCGCAAUCGUUAUGUCAACACAGGAAACUCCACCCACAACUUCUUACCAGCAGUCUAUGAUCAAAAAACAAUGUACAUACGAUCUACGGGAAUCAAUCGAACUUUGAUCUCAGCCACUUCAAAUAUGCUCGGAAUGUAUGGACAAGACGGCUACGGUAGCUCGGCUGGAACUGAUUUUCCAGAUGCUCAGGGAUGGCCACGUGGCUUCGUUCCUAUUCCAGUUCAUACCGUUGAUUAUGACAGUGAUCAUGUGAGAUUUUGGGCUAUUUGAAUCAAUAAAAAAUUGGAGAAUAAAGAUUGGAAAUAUGGACUGCAUCUGCCCACGUCGUGAAUGGCUCUGGAAUAUUGCUCAACAAUCGGACGAAAUGAAGAACUGGAGAAGCUCAGUACCAGUUUCAUCAGUAAUCGACAAACUAACGUCACUGGUUAAUCAAACAUGGAGUCUAGAAGAUUUCUGGACUGUCCCGGAUGCCUUAUUCAUUGAACAAAUAUAUUUUAAUGAAUCACUUCGAAAAGAGAAUACAUGGUUCAAUGAUGAUUUUUAUAGUCAAAUUGUGGCAGUAAAUGAUCAAAUUUAUAUGUAUCAAUACGGAGUAUUCAAUAGUACUAUUAAUAUGAACAACAUGAAUAUUGGCCUUGAGCUUCUGAAAGUACGAUCCGGACCUCUUAUGAAUGAUAUGAUGGAUAGAAUUAAUAAGAAAAGUGAUUGUACAUAUGGAAAAAAUACACAAGGGUGUGAUUGGAUAAAUGGACUCAAGUACUUCGUUUAUUCAGCUCACGAUGAGACCGUAUACGCAGUGCUAGUAGCUCUUGGCAUCGAACGAUUUGCUAUUAAACCUCACGGAUAUCCACUUUAUUCCGCUGCCGUAUCGGUUGAAUAUUGGAGAAAUACUACUGAUAACGCUGACUAUUUUAAGCUGGUUUACCACAAACAAUCUGGAGAUGACUUUACUGUGAUGACGAAGGAGAUUACUGGAUGUGGAGGAGAUUACUGUUCAAUGAAUGUGUUGAAUCAAAUUGCAAACAAUUUAAAACCAGAUCAACCUAUUGAUCAAUGGUGUCUCGUUACCGGAUCCUCGAACUCUUCUUCACUUUUAUUUUUGAUUAUAUUCACUUUCAUUUCAAAAUAUAUUUUAUUCUAG
rnacentral:misc_RNA from 1 species